AAUCAACGCUGGCGGCGCGCCUAACACAUGCAAGUCGAACGGGAAAGUGGAGCAAUCCAUGAGUAAAGUGGCGUACGGGUGAGUAACACGUGGAUAAUCUGCCCUUUAGUGGGGAAUACCGUUGGGAAACCGACGACAAUACCGCAUAAUCUCGAGAGAGGAAAGCAGCAAUGCGCUGAAGGAGGAGUCCGCGGUCGAUUAGCUAGUUGGUGAGGUAAUGGCUCACCAAGGCUGUGAUCGAUAGCCGGCCUGAGAGGGCACACGGCCACACUGGCACUGAAACACGGGCCAGACUCCUACGGGAGGCAGCAGUGGGGAAUCUUGCACAAUGGGGGAAACCCUGAUGCAGCGACGCCGCGUGAGCGAUGAAGCCCCUUCGGGGUGUAAAGCUCUUCGGCAGGGACGAUAAUGACGGUACCUGCAGAAGCAGCUGCGGACUAACUACGUGCCAGCAGC
rnacentral:rRNA from 1 species